UGCAGCGGUGCAGUGGUUAGCGCUGUUGCCUUGCAAGAAGUAGGUUGUGGGUUUGACUCCCAGCUGGCCAG
rnacentral:tRNA from 1 species